UACGAAGGGGGCUAGCGUUGCUCGGAAUCACUGGGCGUAAAGCGCACGUAGGCGGAUUGUUAAGUCAGGGGUGAAAUCCUGGAGCUCAACUCCAGAACUGCCUUUGAUACUGGCGAUCUUGAGUCCGGGAGAGGUGAGUGGAACUGCGAGUGUAGAGGUGAAAUUCGUAGAUAUUCGCAAGAACACCAGUGGCGAAGGCGGCUCACUGGCCCAGUACUGACGCUGAGGUGCGAAAGCGUGGGGAGCAAACAGG
rnacentral:rRNA from 1 species